AGCAGCCACGGUAAUUCCAGCUCCAAUAGCGUAUAUUAAAGUUGUUGCAGUUAAAAAGCUCGUAGUUGAAUUUCGGAAUUAAUUAAUUGGUCGUGCCUAUGGUACGUACUGAUUUUAUUGGUUUCUCCCUUCUGACGAACCAUGAUGUCAUUAAUUUGGUGUCGUGGAGAAUCAGGACUGUUACUUUGAAAAAAUUUAGAGUGUUUAAAGCAAGCUAACGCUUGAAUACAUUAGCAUAGAAUAAUGAAAUAGGACGUUUGAUCCUAUUUUGUUGGUUUCUAGGAUCAACGUAAUGAUUAAUAGGGAUAGUUGGGGGCAUUAGUAUUCAAUUGUCAAAGGUGAAAUUCUUGGAUUUAUUGAAGACUAACUACUGCAAAAGCAUUUGUUAAGGAUGUUUUUAUUAAUCAAGAAUGAAAGUUAGGGAAUCGAAGACGAUCAGAUACCGUCGUAGUCUUAACCAUAAAUUAUGCCGACUAGGGAUCAGAUGAUGUUAAUUUUUUAAUGACUCAUUCGGCGCCUU
rnacentral:misc_RNA from 1 species